rnacentral:rRNA from 1 species
GACGAACGCUGGCGGCGUGCUUAACACAUGCAAGUCGAACGGAAAGGCCCUGCUUUUGUGCGGUGCUCGAGGGGCGAACGGGUGAGUAACACGUGAGUAACCUGCCCCUGACGGUGGGAUAACUUCAGGAAACUGGGGCUAAUACCGGAUAGGAGCUCCUGCUGCAUGGUGGGGGUGGGAAAGUUUCGGCGGUUGGGGAUGGACUCGCGGCUCAUCAGCGUGUUGGUGGGGUAGUGGCUUACCAAGGCUCUGACGGGUUGCCGGCCUGAGAGGGGGAACGGCCACAUUGGGACUGGGAUGCGGCACGGCCUGCUACGGGAGGCAGGGGUGGGGAAGGGUGCACGGUGGGCGGAAGGAUGGUGCAGCGAAGCCGCGUGGGGGAUGUCGGCAUGCGGGUUGGAAAGCGCUUUCGCCUGUGACGAAGCGUGAGUGACGGUAAUGGGUGAAGAAGCACCGGCUAACUACGUG